rnacentral:tRNA from 1 species
AAGAUACUAGUAUAGCCGCAAUACACUGCCUUGUCAAGGCAAAAUCGUGGGUUAAACUCCCACGUAUCUUG